rnacentral:lncRNA from 1 species
GUACUUAACUGAAUUUUAUAACGCUGAUCGAUAUCUUGGUAAAAUAUUCAUUUUUAAACUAGCGGGCAGCGAAAUCUUUGCUUUGUGUGCUAAAGUCAACAGUCGCACAGUUCGGGCUCCAAUAAAUGCGGCGAUGCUGCGGCUUGGAGCAGUCAGGGCGUCUCCCAAUGCAAGACAGUCCUCGCCCGGACGUGGGCUGCGGAGGGCCCCGCACCAGGAACCCAUUGGUCAGAAGCAGCCUGUUCGAAGGUGGGAGAAUUGUGGCAGCAAAACAAUGUUUCCUGUGAUUUUCAUAUUCCACCUUGGGCAAGAUGUGGUGUCUCAGAAACAAAUAGCGGGAGAGAUAAUCAAGAUAAAGGCUAAGAUUUUGAUUUGUAACAAAAUCUAUCAUUACUUGUAUAACUAAUAAACACAUGAAAUAUAGC